rnacentral:pre_miRNA from 1 species
AGGGAUCUCGGCCUUCUCUUCCUGGUUCUUCCUGGAGUCGAGAGAAGGUGGGUUGAGAGGAUGGUGAAAAAAAAAA